AGAGAAACAAGUGGGUCCUGUAUUAAUUGUGAAGAGCUAACUAUUAUAUGGAUAGGCUAAGAUAAGGCUAUAAAGAACCUUAUAGCCAGCAGGUCGGCUGUAUUAUUAGCCUUGCUCUAAGAGCAAGUUUAAUAGUAUAGUCCACUACUAGAUCCAAAUCAUUUAUAGCUAAUGUAAUAGCCAAUUCAUACAAUAGUUAUUUACUAUACUAUUAAUAUCUGGUCCCACUUGUCAUACACA
rnacentral:misc_RNA from 1 species